rnacentral:rRNA from 1 species
CCUACGGGUGGCAGCAGUGGGGAAUAUUGGACAAUGGGCGAAAGCCUGAUCCAGCCAUGCCGCGUGUGUGAAGAAGGCCUUCGGGUUGUAAAGCACUUUCAAUGGGGAAGAAAGCCUUGGGGCUAAUACCCUCGAGGAAGGACAUCACCCACAGAAGAAGCACCGGCUAACUCCGUGCCAGCAGCCGCGGUAAUACGGAGGGUGCGAGCGUUAAUCGGAAUUACUGGGCGUAAAGCGCGCGUAGGCGGUCUGAUAAGCCGGUUGUGAAAGCCCCGGGCUCAACCUGGGAACGGCAUCCGGAACUGUCAGGCUAGAGUGCAGGAGAGGAAGGUAGAAUUCCCGGUGUAGCGGUGAAAUGCGUAGAGAUCGGGAGGAAUACCAGUGGCGAAGGCGGCCUUCUGGACUGACACUGACGCUGAGGUGCGAAAGCGUGGGUAGCAAACAGGAUUAGAUACCCUUGUAGUC